rnacentral:rRNA from 1 species
AGCAGCAGCCACGGUAAUACAGAGGGUGCGAGCGUUAAUCGGAUUUACUGGGCGUAAAGCGUGCGUAGGCGGCUUUUUAAGUCGGAUGUGAAAUCCCUGAGCUUAACUUAGGAAUUGCAUUCGAUACUGGGAAGCUAGAGUAUGGGAGAGGAUGGUAGAAUUCCAGGUGUAGCGGUGAAAUGCGUAGAGAUCUGGAGGAAUACCGAUGGCGAAGGCAGCCAUCUGGCCUAAUACUGACGCUGAGGUACGAAAGCAUGGGGAGCAAACAGGAUUAGAUACCCCAGUAGUCCCUGUCUCUUAUAU